ensembl:ncRNA F17C8.13 ncRNA
UCUCAAAUGAUUGUCGUCGUCUUCUUCACUGGUUUUCUUAUGUUUCCUAUCGGUAUCCCAUUCUGUUAUCCAUCCCC